GUUGUCAUAUAUAUCAUCUGAUGUGAAGGUGGAUGCCUCCCAUUGUAGAAGUGUCAGGGGCCAGCUCAACCUUCUCAUGGUUAGGUACAGGUGGCUCAUUUCCCGUGACCCAACUACACUAGUGCUCAGACCUUAGGGAUCAUAUCAAGAGCUGUAGAGGGAACUUGCUGUUAAGCUUAGGGAAAUUGUAUUGCUCAAAUGGCAGCUUGAUGACAUGCCGUGCAAGAAGAACUAAUUUAGUAUGUCUCUCUCACCCACAUAACAUAUUAUGUGACGUGGCACAAUUCGAUGACAGGAUAUUUUACAUACCUGUUUCAUUAGGAUAUAUUUGAUCUCUGACUAAAAUCUCUUUCAACAGGUAUGAACACCGCUUUUUAGAACUUUAUGUUCAUAUUCAAGUAUGGAAAUACUAUGGUUGGUUAGUUCUGUGACAUUUGAUUAUCUUUUAUGAAUUUCUUAUUGCCUCCAAGCUUAACUAACUUAACUAAAUGUAUUCACUAGGCAAAUAUGCAGGAACAACUUCGGCAGACUCGUGAAUUAUAUGCCACAUUUAAUGCAAUGUUGGAGAUAAAAGACUUGAUGCUAAAGGAGACUUCUAUGUUAAACUCUAUAAGUUCACAGGUAUAGGAACGGUUCUUUGAUAUCGUGGGUGUCGAAAAUAAAUAUGCAUUGACUCUUAAAAAAAAAGAUAUUGAAUAUCUUUUUUUCCGAUUUAAUCUCAUUAUCCAAAACAUACGUAGUCAAGGGUAUGAUGGUGCUAGCAAUAUACGUGGCAAAUGGAAUGGACUUCAAGCUUCAUUUCUCAAAGAUUGCCCAUAUGCAUAUUAUGUACAUUGCUUUGCACAUCGUUUGCAAUUGGCAUUUAUUGCGACAGUAAAAGAUGAGCCUAAUGGUUGGCAAUUUUUUUCUCACUUAAGUUGUAUUGUCAAUCUUGUUGCUUAUUCUCCAAA